GUUGAAAAGAAUAAAAAUCCUCUUCUCUCUCUCUCUCUCUCUCUCUAAAAGAAUCCUGGCGUCCUCUCUUUUUUCAAUUCGUAUUUACUUUAAUUUCUGGAUCUCUCCUACCUGUUAUCUCAUCAUCAGUCAUAUUCCAUUGAUAAUCAUGUUUCUCUAGAUCUCGACAUCUCAGUCACUACUCUCAAAUUCUGGUUUUUGUUUCUGUCGACGACACUUGUACCAAUUGUAGAUCUAUAUUUGAAACUUAUAAUCUAUCGAUGAGGCCUAUACAUAUUUGAAACUUUCUUUUAAUUUAUCGAUGAGAUGUUUAGCGGAGGGACGGGAAUAUGUUACAGAUCUGAUUAGUUAAGCAGGUUUGGCUAUAUAGGUUGAGAUGGUUGUUUAUUAAUUCGAAUCAUACAGAAAUGCCACACGUGGAUGAGAAAUUCAAGACUGAAGGAGAUCAAAUUCAGCUCAUGUAUCUACUGUCUCUGAGCAAUCAUUUGGAUGAAGCGUCUUAUCUCAAGUAGUAAAGCAAGUUAGGGAGUGUAUUGCCAGAGCCACCUCAGUUUUAGGUGAUCUUUUUGUUGCACAGUUUCGUACUCCGUGAUACUUUUUGUCGCUGUGAGAGAUUGAGCAUGGUAUUUGUAAAAUGCGGUUGCUUUUAUUAAUAGUUUUUCUUCUUCCUUCAUUUUUUGGUAUAUUUCUUGUUGUAGCUUUAUAUUUUAUUCAAGAUCAUGUGCACUCUGGCAAUUUAGGUAUGCAAUUCUAGGUUACAAAUAAUCCAAGUUGAGUACUUGCAUCUAAAUAUAAAAAAAUUAAAAAAGCUCAGCUUCUCUACGUUUUGGUUUUGAAUAUUCCAUUCUUAACAUGGUCCCUGGAGCAGGCAAUUAAGUAAACAAUAUAGAUGACCCAUUUUCAAUUUUUUUUUAGUUUAUAUUUUUAAAUUUGCAGCCCUAGAACCUUGCUAUGUUGUUAUGUUGUAACUUUUUUUUUUUUAAUUCCCGUUUUGUUAAAAAAAAAAUUAUUUUGAUUGAACAAGCUGCCAAUGUCAUGAAACAAACAAAUGACUUUUUGGGCUGUCUUCAAGUCCCAAUUGACACAGCAUGCCCAAAAUUCAUUGUUGUAUGAGGACCUAUAUGAUGUCUUAUAAACUAAUACUUUAGGUGUUGCAUUUCUUUUCCAUGUCUUAGUUUGAUUUCAAGACUGGUCUUCUGAAUUUUGUCAUUUUGGACCUUCUGUUUAAAAUUACAAUAAAUGAUCUGUGUUCCAACCAUAAGUUUUAUUUUUUAUUUUUUUCAAUAUUCUUUAUAUUUUGUCCAUGUAUAUAGAAACUUAUGCAGAGGAUAUUAUAUAGCCUGUAGAAAUGUUAAAUGCAUUUGAACUGUUGCCAAGUUGGUGUCUUCUUUUGACAGAAAAUGGUUGGUACAGAAAUUUUGUGUUUCUUUGCUAUUCAGAAAAGGUCCGUGCAUUAUGCAAUUUUUCUUGUUGUAUGCAUUUCUAUCCUUGUUGGCUGUUGCAACCCUAGUUUGAUGGUUUAACUCUUGUUUUCAUGGAUCUUGGAAUUUAUGAAUAAUGCCAAUAUAAAUGGGGGUUUUGCUUCUUGCUGAAGUGCAAGUAAGGUAUCAUUCUUUAUGAGGGUAAGAUUUGCUAUAGUGACAUUGGUGAUGCAGUGUUACUGCCAAAGCUUUGUAAAUUAUACUUUUUCACCAGGAUUUCUACAGUGAUAGUUGAGAUAAUCUAUUUCUAUUUCCCUCUUUUUCCCCUUUUCCCCCUUUUUCCUUUCCUUUCUCUGCAUUUUACAUGUUGCUUUAUAAGUUUUCACUGGAAAAAUCAUUACUAAAUUGGAUGUUCGCAUAUACUACAAUUAUAGUAUUUCUGGAUACUAAACUGGAUGCCAUGGUUUUAUUACAAUUAUUAUAUAUCACGAAUAAGUUUUAAGGAAAAACAAAAAUUCUGUCAAUGAAGAAAAAUUAUAUUGUUCAAGAUGUGGACACACUCACCUGUGGAUUUUUGUUCCGUGCUGUAGGAUAUUGGUGCUGUAGUCAAACUUGAUAUAGAUUUUACCUUUUAUCUGGUUGAUCUAUGUUAUUUUAUUAUUGUUAUUAUUAUUUUUAUGUUUGCUUCAUUUGAUGCCUAUUGCGGUUAUCAACUACAAAAUAAGAGGUGGUCCUGUCUUUUAAGGGGUAUAUGAACUGUUGCAUUUGAACUGUUGUCUAUUGCAGUUAAAUUGCCCAAGAUAAAAAAUAAAAAAAAGGGGCAAUUUUUUUCUUGAUUCGAUUACUCUGACUUUUGGUUAUUAAUUUAUUAUUUAUACUAAUCAAUUUUGGUCGAUUAUUUUCGUUUUGGUGAAACGAAUGUCGCUGUACUGUUAUCCUCCCACGAUUUGCUCGUGUUGUCCUUCGAGAUAUGCUCAUGUGCUCUCAUGAACUCUCUAAAUUUACUAAUUUUUCUUCUGUAAAUUUAUACUUUAUUUUUUUUA